rnacentral:rRNA from 1 species
GACGAACGCUGGCGGCGUGCUUAACACAUGCAAGUCGAACGGAAAGGCCCUGCUUUUGUGGGGUGCUCGAGUGGCGAACGGGUGAGUAACACGUGAGUAACCUGCCCUUGACUUUGGGAUAACUUCAGGAAACUGGGGCUAAUACCGGAUAGGAGCUCCUGCUGCAUGGUGGGGGUUGGAAAGUUUCGGCGGUUGGGGAUGGACUCGCGGCUUAUCAGCUUGUUGGUGGGGUAGUGGCUUACCAAGGCUUUGACGGGUAGCCGGCCUGAGAGGGUGACCGGCCACAUUGGGACUGCGAUACGGCCCAGACUCCUACGGGAGGCAGCAGUGGGGAAUAUUGCACAAUGGGAGGAAGCCUGAUGCAGCAACGCCGCGUGCGGGAUGACGGCCUUCGGGUUGUAAACCGCUUUCGCCUGUGACGAAGCGUGAGUGACGGUAAUGGGUAAAGAAGUACCGGCUAACUACGUG